UUAUCACAGGACCAGCUAACUGAGCUGGCUCCCACUUUUGCUUGAAGCUUCAAAAGACUGAAAAACUAUGGAAAUCUAAUUGUGGUCGACACUGGAGCAAGACUUCCUGUUCCAAGGAUACUUCCUUUCCUAGAGGUUCCUGCUCAAAUGUCUUCCGUAGAUCUGAAAAGCACAGGCCACACUCCAAGUAUGAGAACGAAGCUUCUUGCCUCCCAAGUUGAGCUGGUCUUGACGCAACAGCUAUAGACCUGGGGAAAUUCUGUUCUUAGAAGAGGUUCAUGCUGUGGUUACCUGCUGUUGGCCAUCUUCUGUCCUUCCUGCCACAGGCCUGACCUUGCAUUAAGCAAAUACACCUGCUUUACUAUGAUUCACACUUUCAUACUUUCAAAUUACCUGUCAACUAACUAUUUUCCAUACUCAAUGAACAGACAUGCUAAACACAAUUUUAACUUUUUAAAAUUUUGUUUUAAUGUGCUUUCAAAGUGUUCCUCUAGCAAAUAAAAUAAUUCCAUGGUCACAUAUAGUAAUAAUACUUAGGUUCUUAAAGGGGAAAAAAUGUACCUUACUCCCAAUAAUGAUAAAAGGGGCUAAUUAUGUUGUCAUAUAAAAUAUAACUCUUGCUUAAAUCACCAAAUCUAGCUGUUAAUGAGAAACAACUGCUGUGAACCGACCAGCACAGCCGAUUUUGGGAAAACUAGAUUAGUCUUCUGAGCUUUGGGCAGUUCUUAAAAGGGAAAAUCUCCUGACAAUGCCAUAGAAUCUUAGAAAGUUUGCCAUGGUUUUCUUUUCCAGGAAAAGAGUGUUUUAUUCUUGCUGGAAUUUUUAAAAAAUCAUGAAAAAAAUAUUUAUAUUCAGCAACUCAUUGUGGUUUUUAAAUGUAAGGGACAAAGUAUAUAAAAAAUGUUGGGUGGAGUUUUCUUUUUUUACUUGCUUCUUCUUAAAUAUUGUAAAAGACAAAACAAAACAAACAAAAACCAACCAACCAACCAGCAAAAAUAAACCACAUGAAGUUUCCUCAAUGGCUAGAUUGAAAAGUCAAGAAUUGUCACAUUUCUGCAAAUAUGUACGAGUUGGACCGCAAAGAGAAAAGUUUGUUUAAAACUCGGAUUUACCGUUUCCUAAACAAGUGACUUGUGCAAGUUACCUAAUGUUUCCAUGCUUCUGUUUUGUUAUUUGCAAAAGAAGGAUAAUCAUAGAACCUACCUCGUAGGAUUAUUGGGGGCACCGCAACAGUGAACAUGUACAAGGGGCUUACAACAGAGUUGGGUGCACACCAGAAACAUUGGCUACUGGGACACAGAGUUUUUUCAAGACAAAAUAAUGA